rnacentral:rRNA from 1 species
UUGGUGGGGUGAUGGCCUACCAAGGCGACGACGGGUAGCCGGCCUGAGAGGGCGACCGGCCACACUGGGACUGAGACACGGCCCAGACUCCUACGGGAGGCAGCAGUGGGGAAUAUUGCACAAUGGGCGGAAGCCUGAUGCAGCGACGCCGCGUGAGGGAUGACGGCCUUCGGGUUGUAAACCUCUUUCAGCACCGACGAAGCGCAAGUGACGGUAGGUGCAGAAGAAGCGCCGGCCAACUACGUGCCAGCAGCCGCGGUAAGACGUAGGGCGCGAGCGUUGUCCGGAUUUAUUGGGCGUAAAGAGCUCGUAGGCGGCUUGUCGCGUCGACUGUGAAAACCCGCGGCUCAACUGCGGGCUUGCAGCCGAUACGGGCAGGCUAGAGUUCGGUAGGGGAGACUGGAAUUCCUGGUGUAGCGGUGAAAUGCGCAGAUAUCAGGAGGAACACCGGUGGCGAAGGCGGGUCUCUGGGCCGAUACUGACGCUGAGGAGCGAAAGCGUGGGGAGCGAACAGGAUUAGAUACCCUGGUAGUCCACGCUGUAAACGUUGGGCGCUAGGUGUGGGGGGCCUCUCCGGUUCUCUGUGCCGCAGCUAACGCAUUAAGCGCCCCGCCUGGGGAGUACGG